rnacentral:rRNA from 1 species
UCGAGAAUUUUUCACAAUGGGGGAAACCCUGAUGGAGCGACGCCGCGUGGGGGAUGAAUGGCUUCGGCCCGUAAACCCCUGUCAUUCGCGAACAAUGCCUGUGGUCUAAUAAAUCACAGGUUGAUAGUAGCGGAAGAGGAAGGGACGGCUAACUCUGUGCCAGCAGCCGCGGUAAUACAGAGGUCCCGAGCGUUGUUCGGAUUCACUGGGCGUAAAGGGUGCGUAGGCGGUCGGGUAAGUCUGAUGUGAAAUCUCACAGCUUAACUGUGAAACUGCAUUGGAUACUAUUCGGCUUGAGGUCUGGAGGGGGGACUGGAAUUCUCGGUGUAGCAGUGAAAUGCGUAGAUAUCGAGAGGAACACCAGUGGCGAAGGCGAGUCCCUGGACAGGUCCUGACGCUGAGGCACGAAAGCUAGGGGAGCAAACAGGAUUAGAUACCCCGGUAGUCC